AAUAACCGAGGUAGUUACUCUUUCGUAAAUUACUUCUUAAAAAUAUAAAAAUUUUUGACCUACUGUUCUUCUUCUUUCUCGCGAAAACGAGAGCACUGUUAUUGUUCCUUAUUCUUCUUGCGAACGCUAUUGUUAUUUCCUCCUUACCGCGAAUUUAUUCUUUCUCUCCGGUGAAGGCGAAGCUCGUGGUGUGGCCUUCAAUUCUGUCACACGAAUGUUGCUCCAUCUCUAUCACUUGAAUUGAACUUCUCAUCGCCG
rnacentral:lncRNA from 1 species